rnacentral:rRNA from 1 species
ACGGGUGAGUAAUGCUUAGGAAUCUGCCUAUUAGUGGGGGACAACAUCUCGAAAGGGAUGCUAAUACCGCAUACGUCCUACGGGAGAAAGCAGGGGAUCUUCGGGCCUUGCGCUAAUAGAUGAGCCUAAGUCGGAUUAGCUAGUUGGUGGGGUAAAGGCCUACCAAGGCGACGAUCUGUAGCGGGUCUGAGAGGAUGAUCCGCCACACUGGGACUGAGACACGGCCCAGACUCCUACGGGAGGCAGCAGUGGGGAAUAUUGGACAAUGGGGGGAACCCUGAUCCAGCCAUGCCGCGUGUGUGAAGAAGGCCUUUUGGUUGUAAAGCACUUUAAGCGAGGAGGAGGCUACCGAGAUUAAUACUCUUGGAUAGUGGACGUUACUCGCAGAAUAAGCACCGGCUAACUCUGUGCCAGCAGCCGCGGUAAUACAGAGGGUGCAAGCGUUAAUCGGAUUUACUGGGCGUAAAGCGCGCGUAGGUGGCCAAUUAAGUCAAAUGUGAAAUCCCCGAGCUUAACUUGGGAAUUGCAUUCGAUACUGGUUGGCUAGAGUAUGGGAGAGGAUGGUAGAAUUCCAGGUGUAGCGGUGAA